rnacentral:lncRNA from 1 species
GAGAUGCCAUUUCUCAGCCCAAUUGGAAAGAGGCCGGGAGCACCAGUUCCCUGACCCCCUCAGCCCCACCGCCUGCCGCCCCCUGGUACUGACCAGCUCCUUCUUCCUCUUCUCCUCUUUCACGUCGGUCUUCUUGAUCUCUGCCUUGAAGGCCUCCGCCUCGCCAUUCUGGUCGUCCUUGGCCAGCAGGUCCAUGAGGCUCGAAACGCCGGUCUCAGUGGCUAUUGAGUUACCCACCAAGUUACCCCGGUUAGAGCUGUUUGGGGUGGCUCACGUUAUUGCGGCAAACUUUGGAGAUGACGGCUGAGUCCUCCGGGCGAACAUGUCAAGCCGAUUGUAAAUGCUGUUAUUUCCACAUCCUUCAGGGACACCAGUCCCUACGAAGACCUUGGGCGAUUUUGAAGUGCGGGCACCUCGAUUCCCCGAAUCUGUAGUGUGGCUGGUAUCGGUGUUCCCCUGGUUUAACUAGCCUGUUUGCCGCAGGCCACAAAGCGAUCCCCACCCGAAGGACUCCACAAGGACAGUCCUUUCCUUGCUCACCGCCGACAAAGUGGUUGGGGCAGGAAGGCGAGGUCAGUGCGAAUGGAGGGCGCCCAACUUCGGUGUUGCAGUUGACUCUGUGCUCGGGCUCUGCCCUCCACUAGCCCUAGAGUCUUGGGCAGCAGGAUUGAGAAAUAUAUAUAUUUCAGGUUUGCCGCGGCUGGGCGGUAGGAGACAGGGACUUAAAAGCCCAGGAUUAGAGUCGGUGCAGGGCCCAUUCUUUUUCUAGGAAAGGGGUUAACAUCCUUGAACGUCCCCAGACAAGCGUCUUAAAGCAUUGAACCUAGAAUAGGGAUUAACUGAAACUAGGCUCGUUGGUAAGCGCCAGGGGCUUGCAGUUGAGCUCGGAACAAAAUAGUGACCUACUGCUCUAAACCCCCAACUUGCGUGGGUCUGCAAUUUUUUAGCACAAGGAGAGCCUUUUAAAGACCUGGUUCUUCAAGGAAAGAAUGCAGGUAGUGUGGUUGGGGGUUCUGUUUACAUUUUCACCCGGAGGCAAACCCCGAAUGUGUAAAUACUGGUAGUUCAAUUCUCUGACAUUUGAUACGUUUUUGAAAAGUCUGUUUAUAAAAACACAUUUAGGCCUUGGGAGCAGGUAGACAAAGUAAGAUUGCACUGGGGCUGGGAACAUAUAAAAAUUCAGGGAAAUUAGUUGGUUGGCUGCUUUAAGACCCAAAGGGAGUUUUGGGAAUUGAAGGGAGGAAGAAGAGUCCAGAGGAGGGCUGAGUUAGGGAUUGAGAUGCUCUGUCCACCAGAGACCAGCGGUGAGUGGCCUCACUUUUGAAAGCUUCAGAACUUGCCACAUUUAGCUUUUCUCAUGCUUUUAAUUGAAACAAACAAACAAACAAAAAUGAAUGAAUUACCUCGUGGCUCCAGAUAGCAUUGCAAGUGGUAAAGGAAAUGGACAACAUGGUACAGAAAAAAGAAAUCAUAAAAGAUGCUAAUCUGAACAUCAGUUCUCACUCACAGUGUCAUUAUCAGUUAACUGCUGUGGUCCAAGGGCCUAAGACUUGAUGUGGCUCAGAAACCCAAAUCCAGAGGUCACUGCCUUAGAAAGCUGGCUUGAUGAGAGGGGACAAAUGGAUGAACCCUAGUGGUGUCCCCAACUGUAGUAACUGACUCAGGGAGGCCAGGCUGGCCCUGACUGGUUGAGCUCUACCCUAAAUGCACAAACGCAUCCACUUUUCUCUUGCAGUGUCCUUUGGCCUGUUUUGUUCCAGGUUUUCCAGGAUACUGGGUUAGCCUGCUCCUUUGGGAAGUUGUGAAGCAAGGAUGCCAUCUCAAGUUUGCCCUCAAUUUAGGUGUCCUGGGCAUCCUGGUGGUAGUGAUGGAGGUGUUGGCAGUGGUGGCAAUGAAGGAGAGGGUGGUGUUGGUGAUGAGAGGGAAAGUGGGAGAAGAAAGGGAGAAAGGCACAGUCCCUGACAUCGAUGUCAGCAUGGGGACCCCACUCCUGGGCUGCACUAGUGUAGCUGCUGAUGCACAUGUUGUAAGUACUCAAAGGCCCAGGGAACUGGCUUGCUGGGGGCUCCUCUGGGUGCCUGUGGAGGAAUCUUAGCUAGGAGUGCUUCUCUGCCUCUCCUCAGAGGCUGAGGGCUGAGCCAAAACCGGCCUUACUCGUGUCCAGAAACUGCUUCACAAGGAGGCAGCCCAGGUUUGGGUGAGUGUUUGGGAUUCUGUACCUUUGUUGUAGCUGAUGGUGUACCUACUGUACUGCACAUGUCAACUGCCUUCAGCCAAAUAGACAGAAUCUGGUUCAAGCAUUUAUUUUGCUCCUCAUGUCUCUUGUCUCUUUGCCGUCACUGCUACUUCUUUCUCUGGAAAAAGACGGAAAGAGCAGCAGAGAGGCUGAACAUGGCCAUGCAAACAUUUUGGUCUUGUGAGAUAUUAUUAUACUUGAAAAAAUCAAUCUGGUUUAAACUAAUUUUAAAAAAAUCUUUAGUUAGGUUUUAGGGAAAAUACAGAUUGUCUCAGGGUGUUUAUUAUUUCAAAGGCAAGGGCAGUUUAUAUCCUCUGUUUUGCUCAUAAGAACCCAAAAUAAACUGGACCCAAAAAGAAUCAGGCCAGAGGGUCAUAAAUGCACAUUUUAUGUUCAUGGGAAUUAUGGCUCAAUUCUCAUCAUCGUCUUUCAAAUCUUGUUUCACCUUGUUUUUCUAACCAACAUAGUGGAAGUGACUCUGACCGUUCCCUUAAGAAUCUUUAAUGCUCUUACAUGAGAUGAGCCUCAGAACAAGCUAAGAACCAUCGAAAGAACAUCAAGCCUGGAAGGUGACAGAAGGAGCAAUGUGUUCUUGAAGAUGUCACCUCAGCCCACCUGCUCCAAGGACAGUGCUUCUUGCGACACUCUGAUAGCUCUGCAUUCUUUUCUGUACCAGGAAGGCACAGAUCAUUCAUGGGGAUGUAUAACCGAAACCAGUCCUCUCCACCGCCUGGGGAUCUUCACUUUCGCAGUCUACGACUGCCUGUGACUCCAGAAAGACAAACUGCAGAUUGGCCAAGAUGGGGAAAUUGAGGCAGAGAAGCCAAGACAUGUGCUAAAGGUCAUGCAGGCUAUGAAUGGAGCUGGAAUGUGAACGCAGGCCAUAUGACCCCAGAGCCCAUGUUCUUGAACCCUUAGAAAGACAGCAGCAACACACCUGGUGCAGCAGCUGCUUAGUUGGAGUGGCUGACAAGGUUGGCAGAGGAUCCCGUUCCUCCCGUGGAGUGGCUGCCAUGAUACUGCCUGCACUGAAGCUGCUCCUAUUUCUGAAAUAUGUAUUGUUAUUUUUUUCCCUGCAUGUUGAACAUUAUACUCUUCUGUUCUUUCGCAUUCUCUUCUUCCCUUCCGGAUGACUUCUAGGGUUUUUGUGAUUCUGUAAUUCUAAAGGAGAAAGGAUAAUAAGAAUUGUGAGGCCGGGCGCGGUGGCUCAUGCCUGUAAUCACAGCACUUUGGGAGGCCAAGGUGGGCGGAUCACUAGGUGAGGAGAUGGAGACCAUCCUGGCUAACACGGUGAAACCCCGUCUCUACUAAAAAUACAAAAAAUUAGCGGGGUGUGGUGGCGGGCGCCUGUAGUCCCAGCAACUCGGGAGGCUGAGGCAGGAGAAUGGCGUGAACCCGGGAAGCGGAGCUUGCAGUGAGCCGAGAUUGCGCCACUGCACUCCAGCCUGGGCGAAGAGGGAGACUCCAUCUUAAAAAAUUAAAAAAAAAAAUUACAGAAAAUUAGCUGGGCGCGGUGGCGGGCGCCUAUAGUCCCAGCUACUCGGGAGGCUGAGGCAGGAGAAUGACGUGAACCCGAGAAGCGGAGCUUGCAGUGAGCCAAAAUCGCGCCACUGCACUCCAGCCUGGGCGGCAGAGCGAGACUCCGUCUCAAAAAAAAAAAAAAAAGAAUUGUGAUGUGAGUGUCCAAAAAAACCCUGAUUUCCAAUCACCUACACAUGGCUGUUUCCUAGAUACACCAGAAAAAAUUGUGACUUUCCGGAUACCUAGUUUCCCUCCCUCCCUCCCUCCCUCCCUUCUUCCCUCCCUC